GACGAACGCUGGCGGCGUGCUUAACACAUGCAAGUCGAACGGAAAGGCCUCUUCGGAGGUACUCGAGUGGCGAACGGGUGAGUAACACGUGGGCAAUCUGCCCUGCACUUCGGGAUAAGCCUGGGAAACUGGGUCUAAUACCGAAUAGGACCUUUAGACGCAUGUCUUUUGGUGGAAAGCUUUUGCGGUGUGGGAUGGGCCCGCGGCCUAUCAGCUUGUUGGUGGGGUGAUGGCCUACCAAGGCGACGACGGGUAGCCGGCCUGAGAGGGUGUCCGGCCACACUGGGACUGAGAUACGGCCCAGACUCCUACGGGAGGCAGCAGUGGGGAAUAUUGCACAAUGGGCGCAAGCCUGAUGCAGCGACGCCGCGUGGGGGAUGACGGCCUUCGGGUUGUAAACCUCUUUCACCAUCGACGAAGGUCCGGGUUUUCUCGGAUUGACGGUAGGUGGAGAAGAAGCACCGGCCAACUACG
rnacentral:rRNA from 1 species